UACGGAGGGUGCGAGCGUUGUCCGGAAUCACUGGGCGUAAAGGGCGCGUAGGCGGCCUGAUAAGUAGGGGGUGAAAUCCUGCGGCUUAACCGCAGGGCUGCCUUCUAAACUGUCGGGCUAGAGCACGGUAGAGGCAGAUGGAAUUCCCGGUGUAGCGGUGGAAUGCGUAGAGAUCGGGAAGAACACCAAUAGCGAAGGCAGCUCGCUGGGACGUUACUGACACUGAGGCGCGAAAGCGUGGGGAGCGAACAGG
rnacentral:rRNA from 1 species